rnacentral:rRNA from 1 species
GACGAACGCUGGCGGCGUGCUUAACACAUGCAAGUCGAACGGAAAGGCCCUGCUUUUGUGGGGUGCUCGAUUGGCGAACGGGUGAGUAACACGUGAGUAACCUGCCCUUGACUUUGGGAUAACUUCAGGAAACUGGGGCUAAUACCGGAUAGGAUCUCCUGCUGCAUGGUGGGGGUUGGAAAGUUUCGGCGGUUGGGGAUGGACUCGCGGCUUAUCAGCUUGUUGGUGGGGUAGUGGCUUACCAAGGCUUUGACGGGUAGCCGGCAUGAGAGGGGGGACGGCGACAUUGGGACUGAGAUACGGAGCAGAAUGGUACGGGAGGCAGCAGUGGGGAAUAUUGCAGAGUGGGCGGAAGCCUGAUGCAGCAACGCCGCGUGCGGGAAGCCGGCCUUCGGGUUGUGAACCGCUUUCGAAUGUAACGAAGCGUGAGUGACGGUAAUGGGUAAAGAAGCACCGGCUAACUACGUG